rnacentral:rRNA from 1 species
AUUGAACGCUGGCGGCAGGCCUAACACAUGCAAGUCGAACGGUAACAGGAAGAAGCUUGCUUCUUUGCUGACGAGUGGCGGACGGGUGAGUAAUGUCUGGGAAACUGCCUGAUGGAGGGGGAUAACUACUGGAAACGGUAGCUAAUACCGCAUAACGUCGCAAGACCAAAGAGGGGGACCUUCGGGCCUCUUGCCAUCGGAUGUGCCCAGAUGGGAUUAGCUAGUAGGUGGGGUAACGGCUCACCUAGGCGGCGAUCCCUAGCUGGUCUGAGAGGAUUACCAGGCAAACUGGAACCUAGACACGGGCCCGGCUCCCAAGGGGGGCAGCAGGGGGGAAUAUUGCACAAUGGGGGCAAGCCUGAUGCAGCCAUGCCGCGUGCAUGAAGAAGGCCUUCGGGUUGUAAAGUACUUUCAGCGGGGAGGAAGGGAGUAAAGUUAAUACCUUUACUCAUUGACGUUACCCGCAGAAGAAGCACCGGCUAACUCCGU